rnacentral:rRNA from 1 species
GACGAACGCUGGCGGCGUGCUUAACACAUGCAAGUCGAACGGUGAAGGGACUGGUUUUGCUGGUCCUGGAUGAGUGGCGAACGGGUGAGUAACACGUGAGUAACCUGCCCCCUUCUUCUGGAUAACCGCAUGAAAGUGUGGCUAAUACGGGAUAUUCUGGGUCUGUCGCAUGGUGGGCCUGGGAAAGAUUGCGCCUUUUUUGGUGUUUUUGGUGGGGGAUGGGCUCGCGGCCUAUCAGCUUGUUGGUGGGGUGAUGGCCUACCAAGGCGGUGACGGGUAGCCGGCGUGAGAGGGUGGACGGCCACACUGGGACUGAGACACGGCCCAGACUCCUACGGGAGGCAGCAGUGGGGAAUAGUGCACGAUGGGCGCAAGCCUGAUGCAGCGACGCCGCGUGAGGGAUGGAGGCCUUCGGGUUGUGAACCUCUUUCGCCAGUGAAGCAGGCCUGCCUCUUUGUGUGGGUGGGUUGACGGUAGCUGGAUAAGAAGCGCCGGCUAACUACGUG